GGAUAACACUUAGAAAUAGGUGCUAAUACCGCAUGAGCGCACAGGACCGCAUGGUCGAGUGUGAAAAACUGAGGUGGUGUAAGAUGGACCCGCGUCUGAUUAGCUAGUUGGUGAGGUAACGGCCCACCAAGGCGACGAUCAGUAGCCGGCCUGAGAGGGUGGACGGCCACAUUGGGACUGAGACACGGCCCAAACUCCUACGGGAGGCAGCAGUGGGGGAUAUUGGACAAUGGGGGGAACCCUGAUCCAGCGACGCCGCGUGAGUGAAGAAGUAUCUCGGUAUGUAAAGCUCUAUCAGCAGGGAAGAAGAAAUGACGGUACCUGAGUAAGAAGCCCCGGCCAACUACGUGCCAGCAGCCGCGGUAAUACGUAGGGGGCAAGCGUUAUCCGGAAUUACUGGGUGUAAAGGGAGCGUAGACGGUGAUGUAAGUCUGGAGUGAAAGGCGGGGGCCCAACCCCCGGACUGCUCUGGAAACUAUGUGACUGGAGUGCAGGAGAGGUGAGCGGAAUUCCUAGUGUAGCGGUGAAAUGCGUAGAUAUUAGGAGGAACACCAGUGGCGAAGGCGGCUCACUGGACUGUAACUGACGUUGAGGCUCGAAAGCGUGGGGAGCAAACAGGAUUAGAUACCCUGGUAGUCCACGCCGUAAACGAUGAUCACUAGGUGUGGGUGGGUAUGGACCCAUCGGUGCCGCAG
rnacentral:rRNA from 1 species